rnacentral:rRNA from 1 species
GAUGAACGCUGGCGGCGUGCCUAAUACAUGCAAGUCGAGCGAACGGAUGAGAAGCUUGCUUCUCUGAUGUUAGCGGCGGACGGGUGAGUAACACGUGGAUAACCUACCUAUAAGACUGGGAUAACUUCGGGAAACCGGAGCUAAUACCGGAUAAUAUUUUGAACCGCAUGGUUCAAAAGUGAAAGACGGUCUUGCUGUCACUUCUAGAUGGAUCCGCGCUGCAUUAGCUAGUUGGUAAGGUAACGGCUUACCAAGGCAACGAUGCAUAGCCGACCUGAGAGGGUGAUCGGCCACACUGGAACUGAGACACGGUCCAGACUCCUACGGGAGGCAGCAGUAGGGAAUCUUCCGCAAUGGGCGAAAGCCUGACGGAGCAACGCCGCGUGAGUGAUGAAGGUCUUCGGAUCGUAAAACUCUGUUAUUAGGGAAGAACAUAUGUGUAAGUAACUGUGCACAUCUUGACGGUACCUAAUCAGAAAGCCACGGCUAACUACGUG